UACGUAGGUGACCAGCGUUGUCCGGAUUUACUGGGCGUAAAGAGCGCGCAGGCGGUCGUUCAAGUCGAGUGUGAAAGCCCCCGGCUCAACUGGGGAGGGUCACUCGAUACUGAUCGACUUGAAGGCAGGAGAGGGAAGCGGAAUCCCCGGUGUAGUGGUGAAAUGCGUAGAUAUCGGGAGGAACACCAGUGGCGAAGGCGGGUUGCUGGGCUGACACUGACGCUGAGGCGCGAAAGCCAGGGGAGCAAACGGG
rnacentral:rRNA from 1 species